rnacentral:rRNA from 1 species
AUUGAACGCUGGCGGCAGGCCUAACACAUGCAAGUCGAACGAGUGGCGGACGGGUGAGUAAUGUCUGGGAAACUGCCCGAUGGAGGGGGAUAACUACUGGAAACGGUAGCUCAUACCGCAUACCAUCGGAUGUGCCCAGAUGGGAUUAGCUAGUAGGUGGGGGAACGGCUCACCUAGGCGACGAUCCCUAGCUGGUCUGAGAGGAUGACCAUCCACACUGGAGCUGAGACACGGUCAAUGCUCCUACGGGAGGCAGCAUUGGGGAAUAUUGCACAAGGGGAGCAAGCCUGAUGCAGCAAUGCCGCGGGUAUGAAGAAGUCCUUCGGGUUGUAAAGUACUUUCAGCGAGGAGGCGUUACUCGCAGAAGAAGCACCGGCUAACUCCGUGCCAGCAGCCGCGGUAAUAC